rnacentral:rRNA from 1 species
GACGAAGGAUGCAAGCGUUAUCCGGAUUCAUUGGGUUUAAAGGGUGCGUAGGCGGACUGAUAAGUCAGUGGUGAAAUCUCUCAGCUUAACUGAGAAACUGCCAUUGAUACUGUUAGUCUAGAGUACAGAUGAUGUGGGCGGAAUAUGACAUGUAGUGGUGAAAUACUUAGAUAUGUCAUAGAACACCGAUUGCGAAGGCAGCUCACAAAACUGUAACUGACGCUGAGGCACGAAAGUGCGGGGAUCAAACAGG